UUUAAAUUGGUGUAUGCCAACAGUUAACCCAAGGGACUCACCAGAUGACCACCAUCAGAGGCACAUGAACAGACUAGACUACUUGUUUCCUCUCCCAGAAUAGGAAAGGAGUCUCCACCCAUCAAACCCGAGUAUGGCAGAAUGGCAUCAUGAAUGAAAGUACAGACUGUGGCUGGACAUCUGCCCACAUAUGGAUUACCAUUUAAUAGUUGUGUUAACUUAAGGUCAUCAUCUCAGGGUUGAGAUCAAGCCCAACAUCUGGCUCCAAUGCUGGCCAUGGAACCUGCUUCUCUCUCCCCCAUGGAGCGCCCGGGUGGCUCAGUCAUUAAGCAUCUG